rnacentral:snRNA from 13 species
AUCUUGAGAAGGGGGCAGGGAAAUGCCAAAGGUCAUUCUUCCAGAGCAAGAAUCAUUGAUUGCAUUCCAUAUGUGCUGACCCCUUUGAUUUCUCCAAAUGUGGGGAAGAAACUUGAUUAUAUAAUUUAUGGUGGUUGGAGACUGCAGUUUCACCUUCCCCUG